GAACUCGGUUAUGUCGGUGGUGUAGUA
rnacentral:piRNA from 1 species